rnacentral:rRNA from 1 species
GACGAACGCUGGCGGCGCGCUUAACACAUGCAAGUCGAACGGAAAGGCCUGCUUUCCCUUGUGGAUUGCGGGUACUCGAGUGGCGAACGGGUGAGUAACACGUGAGUGAUCUGCCCCCAACUUGGGUAUAAGCCUGGGAAACUGGGUCUAAUUCCCGAUAGGACUGCAGGGUAGUGCCUGUGGUGGAAAACGAUUUUCUAGUGGUUGGGGAUGAGCUCGCGGCCUAUCAGCUUGUUGGUGGGGUAAUGGCCUACCAAGGCGGCGACGGGUAGCCGGCCUGAGAGGGUGGACGGCCACAUUGGGACUGAGAUACGGCCCAGACUCCUACGGGAGGCAGCAGUGGGGAAUAUUGCACGAUGGGCGGAAGCCUGAUGCAGCGACGCCGCGUGGGGGAUGACGGCCUUCGGGUUGUAAACUCCUUUCGACCGCGAGGAAGCCGCCUGGUUGGAAGGGUGGUGACGGUAGUGGUAGAAGAAGCACCGGCUAACUACGUG